UCGAGCGAUGAACUUCUUCGGAAGUGGAUUAGCGGCGGACGGGUGAGUAACACGUGGGCAACCUGCCCUAUAGAGGGGAAUAGCCUUCCGAAAGGAAGAUUAAUACCCCAUAAGAUUGUAACUUCACAUGGAGCAGCAAUUAAAGGAGCAAUCCGCUAUAGGAUGGGCCCGCGGCGCAUUAGCUAGUUGGUGAGGUAACGGCUCACCAAGGCGACGAUGCGUAGCCGACCUGAGAGGGUGAUCGGCCACAUUGGGACUGAGACACGGCCCAGACUCCUACGGGAGGCAGCAGUGGGGAAUAUUGCACAAUGGGGGAAACCCUGAUGCAGCAACGCCGCGUGAGUGAUGACGGCCUUCGGGUUGUAAAGCUCUGUCUUUGGGGACGAUAAUGACGGUACCCAAGGAGGAAGCCACGGCUAACUACGUGCCAGCAGCCGCGGUAAUACGUAGGUGGCAAGCGUUGUCCGGAUUUACUGGGCGUAAAGGGAGCGUAGGCGGACUUUUAAGUGGGAUGUGAAAUACUCGGGCUCAACCUGAGUGCUGCAUUCCAAACUGGAAGUCUAGAGUGCAGGAGGGGAAAGUGGAAUUCCUAGUGUAGCGGUGAAAUGCGUAGAUAUUAGGAAGAACACCGGUGGCGAAGGCGACUUUCUGGACUGUAACUGACGCUGAGGCUCGAAAGCGUGGGGAGCGAACAGGAUUAGAUACCCUGGUAGUCCACGCCGUANACGAUGAAUACUAGGUGUAGGGNUUGUCAUGACCUCUGUGCCGCCGCUAACGCAUUAAGUAUUCCGCCUGGGGAGUACGGUCGCAAGAUUAAAAC
rnacentral:rRNA from 1 species